rnacentral:rRNA from 1 species
UGAAUACGAGAUGCUACGGCGUCGAAGCAGUCUAUGUCAUACUUCCAAGAAAAGCUUGCACUGUCAUAAACAAAUAAUGCCUGUACCAUAACCGACACAGGUGGGUAGGUAGAGUAUACUAAGGGGCGCGAGAUAACUCUCUCUAAGGAACUCGGCAAAAUGACUCCGUAACUUCGGGAGAAGGAGUGCCUUAUUUUUAAGGUUGCAAUAACAAGAUCCAAGCAACUGUUUACCAAAAACACAGGUCUCCGCUAAGUCGUAAGACGAUGUAUGGGGGCUGACGCCUGCCCAGUGCCAGAAGGUUAAAGAAGUUGGUUAGCAUCCGCGAAGCUGAUAACUGAAGCCCUGGUGAACGGCGGCCGUAACUAUAACGGUCCUAAGGUAGCGAAAUUCCUUGUCGGGUAAGUUCCGACCCGCACGAAAGGCGUAAUGAUUUGGAUACUGUCUCGGAGAGGGGCUCGGUGAAAUAGACUUGUCUGUGAAGAUGCGGACUACCUGCACCAGGACAGAAAGACCCUAUGAAGCUUUACUGUAACCUGAAAUUGAAAUUGGACUUUACUUGCGCAGUAUAGGUGGGAGGCGUUGAGAAUAUUCUUGCGGGAUUAUUGGAGCCAUCAGUGAGAUACCACUCUUGUAAUGUUAGAUUUCUAACUUUGUAUCAUUAUCUGGUCAAAGAACAGUUUCAGGCGGGCAGUUUGACUGGGGCGGUCGCCUCCUAAACGGUAACGGAGGCGCACAAAGGUUUCCUCUGAACGGGUAGAAAUCGUAUCUAGAGUGUAAAGGCAUAAGGAAGCUUGACUGUGAGACCUACAAGUCGAGCAGGGACGAAAGUCGGUCUUAGUGAUCUGACGGUGCUGAGUGGAAAGGCCGUCAAUCAACGGAUAAAAGUUACUCUAAGGAUAACAGGCUGAUCUCCCCCAAGAGUUCACAUCGACGGGGAGGUUUGGCACCUCGAUGUCGGCUCAUCGCAUCCUGGGGCGGUAGUACGUCCCAAGGGUUGGGCUGUUCGCCCAUGAAAGCGGUACGCGAGCUGGGUUCAGAACGUCGUGAGACUGUUCGGUCCAUAUCCGGUGUAGGCGUUAGAAUAUUGAGAGGAGCCUUCUUUAGUACGAGAGGACCGAGAAGGACAUACCUCUGGUGUACCAGUUAUCGUGCCAACGGUAAACGCUGGGUAGCUAUGUGUGGAGUGGAUAACCGCUGAAAGCAUCUAAGUGGGAAGCCCACCUCAAGAUAAGUAUUCUCAUAAAAAA